rnacentral:antisense_RNA from 1 species
CUAACCAGGUGUUGGCAAGAAACAGGGACACUGAGACUCUCACACUGCUGGAAGGAAUGUAAAAUGCUAAAACUUCUUUGGAAAUGAGUUCAGUAACUUUUUAAACAGUUGAAAAUAGACCUAUCAUGCAAACCAGCAAUCCCACUUCUAGCUAAGGAAAUUGAGACAAACUACAUAAGUUGCUGAAAAAUCACAGCAAAUAAUUAGCUGAGGAAGAGACUCAAAUCUAUCAGAACCGCUUGACUUUUGAUCCUGAGCUUAUGCGCAUCCAGUGGGCAAGUGAGGGUGCAUGGGUUUGUGAAGACUCCAGCAGUAUGAUUGGGGACACAGGGUCUCCCUAUGUUGCCCAGGCUGGUAUCGAACUCUGUUGCCCAGGCUGGUAUUGAACUCCUGCGCUCAAGUGAUCCUCCUGCCUCAGCUUCCCAAAACGCUGGGAUUACAGGCAUGAACCACUCUACCCAGCCCCUCCUUGCUCAUUCGUAAUGAAACAAUGCUUUGUAAACCAGGAAAGUGCUAUAUAAAGAUAUCUUUAAAAUACCAAAGAAGUCCCUGUAAUUAGAUAUUCUAAUGCCAGCUACUGUAACAAAUAAACCUCAGUAUGACAGUGGCUUAAUCCUGUAGAAGUUUACUUCUUGUUUGCAAAUAAAUCCCGUACACUU